rnacentral:rRNA from 1 species
UAAGGAAUAUUGGUCAAUGGACGGAAGUCUGAACCAGCCAUGCCGCGUGAAGGAUGGAGGCCCUCAGGGUCGUAAACUUCUUUUAUACAGGAAAAAAGGUGUUUGAUCUCAGACAUUUGAUGGUACUGUAUGAAUAAGCACCGGCUAACUCCGUG